CCCCUAGAUGUUCUGGGCCGCACGCGCGCUACACUGAACAGUUCAACAAGUCUUAACCUUGGCCGAUAGGUCUGGGUAAUCUUUGAACGCUGUUCGUGAUUGGGAUAGACCUUUGCAAUUAUGGGUCUUCAACGAGGAAUUCCUAGUAAACGCAAGUCAUCAGCUUGCAUUGAUUACGUCCCUGCCCUUUGUACACACCGCCCGUCGCACCUACCGAUUGAAUGGUCCGGUGAAAAAUUGGGACUGUGAUUGAAAUUGCUUCAUUGCGAAUUUAAUUAUGGAAACUUUCUUUAACCUAGGCAUUUAGAGGAAGGUGAAGUCGUAACA
rnacentral:rRNA from 1 species